CAGCCGCCGCGGGAAUACGGAGGGUGCAAGCGUUAAUCGGAAUUACUGGGCGUAAAGCGCACGCAGGCGGUUCGUUAAGACAGAUGUGAAAUCCCCGGGCUUAACCUGGGAACUGCAUUUGUGACUGGCGAGCUAGAGUAUGGCAGAGGGGGGUAGAAUUCCACGUGUAGCAGUGAAAUGCGUAGAGAUGUGGAGGAAUACCGAUGGCGAAGGCAGCCCCCUGGGCCAAUACUGACGCUCAUGCACGAAAGCGUGGGGAGCAAACAGGAUUAGAUACCCCAGUAGUCCCUGUCUCUUAUAC
rnacentral:rRNA from 1 species